AGUCGACGGUGGAGCCAGCUUGCUUGGUGGAUCAGUGGCGAACGGGUGAGUAACACGUGAGCAACCUGCCCUGGACUCUGGGAUAAGCGCUGGAAACGGCGUCUAAUACUGGAUAUGAGACGUGAUCGCAUGGUCGUGUUUGGAAAGAUUUUUCGGUCUGGGAUGGGCUCGCGGCCUAUCAGCUUGUUGGUGAGGUAAUGGCUCACCAAGGCGUCGACGGGUAGCCGGCCUGAGAGGGUGACCGGCCACACUGGGACUGAGACACGGCCCAGACUCCUACGGGAGGCAGCAGUGGGGAAUAUUGCACAAUGGGCGGAAGCCUGAUGCAGCAACGCCGCGUGAGGGAUGACGGCCUUCGGGUUGUAAACCUCUUUUAGCAGGGAAGAAGCGAAAGUGACGGUACCUGCAGAAAAAGCGCCGGCUAACUACGUGCCAGCAGCCGCGGUAAUACGUAGGGCGCAAGCGUUAUCCGGAAUUAUUGGGCGUAAAGAGCUCGUAGGCGGUUUGUCGCGUCUGCUGUGAAAUCCCGAGGCUCAACCUCGGGCCUGCAGUGGGUACGGGCAGACUAGAGUGCGGUAGGGGAGAUUGGAAUUCCUGGUGUAGCGGUGGAAUGCGCAGAUAUCAGGAGGAACACCGAUGGCGAAGGCAGAUCUCUGGGCCGUAACUGACGCUGAGGAGCGAAAGGGUGGGGAGCAAACAGGCUUAGAUACCCUGGUAGUCCACCCCGUAAACGUUGGGAACUAGUUGUGGGGACCAUUCCACGGUUUCCGUGACGCAGCUAACGCAUUAAGUUCCCCGCCUGGGGAGUACGGCCGCAAGGCUAAAACUCAAAGGAAUUGACGGGGACCCGCACAAGCGGCGGAGCAUGCGGAUUAAUUCGAUGCAACGCGAAGAACCUUACCAAGGCUUGACAUAUACGAGAACGGGCCAGAAAUGGUCAACUCUUUGGACACUCGUAAACAGGUGGUGCAUGGUUGUCGUCAGCUCGUGUCGUGAGAUGUUGGGUUAAGUCCCGCAACGAGCGCAACCCUCGUUCUAUGUUGCCAGCACGUAAUGGUGGGAACUCAUGGGAUACUGCCGGGGUCAACUCGGAGGAAGGUGGGGAUGACGUCAAAUCAUCAUGCCCCUUAUGUCUUGGGCUUCACGCAUGCUACAAUGGCCGGUACAAAGGGCUGCAAUACCGUGAGGUGGAGCGAAUCCCAAAAAGCCGGUCCCAGUUCGGAUUGAGGUCUGCAACUCGACCUCAUGAAGUCGGAGUCGCUAGUAAUCGCAGAUCAGCAACGCUGCGGUGAAUACGUUCCCGGGUCUUGUACACACCGCCCGUCAAGUCAUGAAAGUCGGUAACACCUGAAGCCGGGGCCCAACCC
rnacentral:rRNA from 1 species